rnacentral:rRNA from 1 species
AAGUGAAGAGUUUGAUCCUGGCUCAGAUUGAACGCUGGCGGCGUGCCUAACACAUGCAAGUCGAGCGGUAACAGGUGUAGCAAUACAUGCUGACGAGCGGCGAACGGGUGAGUAAUGCUUCGGAAUCUGCCCAAUGGUGGGGAACAACCAGCCGAAAGGUUGGCUAAUACCGCAUAAGUCCUACGG